UGCCAGCCGCCGCGGUAAGACAGAGGGUGCAAACGUUGCUCGGAAUUAUUGGGCGUAAAGCGCGUGUAGGCGGUUCAUCAAGUCGGCUGUGAAAGCCCUCGGCUCAACCGAGGAAGUGCAGCCGAAACUGGUAGACUAGAGUCCCGAAGAGGGUGGUGGAAUGCCCAGUGUAGAGGUGAAAUUCGUAGAUAUUGGGUAGAACACCGGUGGCGAAGGCGACCACCUGGGAGGGUACUGACGCUGAGACGCGAAGGCGUGGGGAGCAAACAGGAUUAGAUA
rnacentral:rRNA from 1 species